rnacentral:misc_RNA from 1 species
AAAAAAAGUAACAGUGGCAGGCACUCGGAAGUCAUAGCUGGAGAGCAAAUUGUUACAACAAUAACAAUCUUUAUUAGGAUAUUACUGCGUAGGGGUGUGGUCAGUAUAUAUGCAUCUUUUCAGCUGCUUCUGCUAGUCCGUUGUCAAAUGCAUUUUUCUCUAGAGCAAGUUGAAAAGGAAUCAAUUUUGUACUUUGUAAGAAAAAUGUGCUGCUUCUGUGACACCAAGAACGUAAUUCCUUUGAGAAAUGCUAUUUGAUUAUGAGUUGAUGGACUCGAAUUUCUCCCCAACUGCACCACCUUUAUCCUUCUGGAACUGGAUGUAUCGCAAGGUGCUUGCAAAGAAGGCAUCUGCUGCAGGAUCUGCUGUUGUAUUUUCACUUUGCAUUUCAGUUG